CUGAGGAGAUCACUGAGCUCAAAGCAGCCAAUCGAGUGUGCAGAGUAAGAUCCAGCAACAGCAACAAAACCAAGCAUCAGCCCUACUCCACAACAAAAACUUGCAUUUAUAUGGCACCUUUAACAUAGAGGAUCAUCCCAAGUCAACUUACAGGAAGGCUACCUGGGGACCUACACAAGGAAGAGGAAGUGUAAUAACAACACAGCAAAGUGCGACAGAGCAUCUAGAUACUGGUGAACAAUGUGAUUAACAGUCUCCCUUAUCAACCUAACUCGUUUGAUGCUCAGAAGAGGUUCAUUACAGGCAAUGCUGGAUUCUAGAGGUGAACCAGGAGUGACUGCCUUUGAUAUCAAGACAGCAUUUCAUUGACUAAGCCCCAUGAAGCAGUACUAAAAUUGAGAAUCAAGGGGAAAAGAAAAAACGCAGUGGAAUGAAAUCUGGCACAAGCAAAGAUGGUUGUAGAUGUUGGAGGACAACCACCCAAGCCCCAGGCCAUUAGUGUUCCUCAGUGCUCUGUCCUAGAGACAAUGAUCUUCAGCAGCUUCAUUAAUGACAUUCCCUCUAACUUUGAUCAAUCCAUGUCACAACUCCAGGACAAUAUCCAGGCUUGAGCUGAUUCGUAGCAAAAAACAUUCAUGUCAAAAAUGUAUCAGGUAAUGACCAUUUCCAAAAAGAGAGACCCUAACUUCAUCCUCUUGGCACUCAACAGGAUGACCAGAAUCAAACCUCACACCAAUAACAUUCUACUCGAUAGCACUUGCCAGAAACUGAACUACACCCAACCACAUCAAUACUGUGCCUACAGGAGCUGAUCAGAGCCUUUGAAUUCUGUCCUGCAUUUUUCGGCAAUUCGGAAUUCAUGAUGUAUCUCUUCCAAAUCACAAAUUGAUGGACAAUUUACACAUGAGUAACAAUAAGUGUAUUCAAUUUGUCUUCUAUUUGGCUACAAAGUCUUGGUGAAUAUAUAAUUGUAAUCCUUCCAAAUAUAGUACAUGGGUCAAGCCUGG